rnacentral:rRNA from 1 species
GCACAAGCGGUGGAGCAUGUGGUUUAAUUCGACGCAACGCGCAGAACCUUACCAGGUCUUGACAUCCCGAUGCUAUUUCUAGAGAUAGAAAGUUACUUCGGUACAUCGGUGACAGGUGGUGCAUGGUUGUCGUCAGCUCGUGUCGUGAGAUGUUGGGUUAAGUCCCGCAACGAGCGCAACCCCUAUUGUUAGUUGCCAUCAUUCAGUUGGGCACUCUAGCGAGACUGCCGGUAAUAAACCGGAGGAAGGUGGGGAUGACGUCAAAUCAUCAUGCCCCUUAUGACCUGGGCUACACACGUGCUACAAUGGUUGGUACAACGAGUUGCGAGUCGGUGACGGCGAGCUAAUCUCUUAAAGCCAAUCUCAGUUCGGAUUGUAGGCUGCAACUCGCCUACAUGAAGUCGGAAUCGCUAGUAAUCGCGGAUCAGCACGCCGCGGUGAAUACGUUCCCGGGCCUU